rnacentral:sRNA from 17 species
UCAUGAACAACGCAAAAUUAACAUUCUUUCAAAAGCGUUCCUGCGAGGCCCAUCUCCUUUCUUCGGAAUGGAAGAUACCAAUGAAGUACGGAAAUCGUCAUAAAGAAUGGAGAGAAACUGCUUCGUGCAGGGUGUCGAUCUUGGGUGCAGUGCCUGACUGCUCUUAUGGCAGGGACCGCAAUGAUUGAUUCUACAC